AGAACCUUUAAAUUAGUCCAGAGAGGCUAAAAAGGAUGUCGGGAAAGAGAUAUAUCAGGGUUUGUAUAUCUUUGUUUUCCAUGAAAAAAACACACCUUCUGCCUCGGGCAGGAGGUUUUUUGUU
rfam:Thermotalea metallivorans strain B2-1 AN619_contig000044, whole genome shotgun sequence.